GUCCACGGUAAUAAGCCUGCGAUUCAUCGCAAAAAGACCGUAAGACAAAUCAGAGAUAUUAUGUGGAAGUUGACAACACAGGAAGGAUUUGAAGGAGUUAGCGGCAUUGUUACAAUUAUAUUAAGCUGCAUGCGAAACAUCAACAGAGACGUAAUGAUCGAUGCUAAAGAUGGUGUCUACUCAUUCAACCUUGAUAUCGUGGAAAUCCUUGCCAAAACAAGGGUACGAGGAAUACCUCUUAUAUUUUUAUUGGAAACUGCUGAAGAUAAAACUGGUGGUGAUCAGACUGAUGUGACAAACGACAAUUACGAAAGAGCGCUUGAUAAGGUGGGGAAACAAUUUACAAUUGAUGCAGGAACAAAUCAUCACGAUAUUUUUACGUAUCAAUUUUGGAAAACCGGCUUCCCAAUCGCGUCUGAUGAAAUAAUUGAUUUCACUCCCGAUGGAUCGAUGAAUUUACAAGGCGAACAAAAAGAUACUGACGCGAAUGAACUACUACUAAUAUUGUCAUUUUUACAUAAUACUAAGGAUAAAUGCAUAAGCACCGUCGAUAUAGU